rnacentral:misc_RNA from 1 species
GACGCUGCCCAGACAAAUUUCCCUGCAUGAAAGUUCAUUGUUAAGUAUUUCACUAGUACAAUACUUUGCAGUGAUGAAGAGCAAUUAGGCUCAAAAUCCUCACCAAUGAUUGAUGAAAAUUUUUGACAGGAAAUUACAAACAACAAUACAAACCUGAGACUAGAAGACACUGUUCAACACAUGGUCAAAUUGGCCCAUUGCAUUUUAGGUCAUUUUAGCUUUUACUAACCCAGGGGAGUUUUGAAGGCACUAUUACCAAGGAAAAUGUGUACUAAUAGGUUCUGAUUGGGAACAAUUAAUGAGGACUAUAAUCUGUGAGAAAUCACCAAGUGCCUAUGUAAUUUUGAGUAAGAUCAGUUGGGGAAAGGAGAAAAGCAAAGGCUGUGUAUGAAUGUCAUCAACUUGAUGAAGAAGGUUAUUCUAAAUGGAGCAUUAGCAAUUUCUCCCAUAAAGGUCAAGGAUGUCUUGGUAUUUCCAAAAGAAUGCAAGUCAGUAUUAACAGGAAUGCAGAAGGGAUUAUACUAAUCUUAAAGAGGCAUAGUGUUGUUUUUUUUUUUUUUUUUU